UACAGAGGUGCUCAAGCGUUGUUUCGGAUUCAUUGGGCGUAAAGGGUGCGUAGGCGGCGCGGUAAGUCGGGUGUGAAAUCUCGGAGCUUAACUCCGAAACUGCAUUCGAUACUGCCGUGCUUGAGGACUGGAGAGGAGACUGGAAUUUACGGUGUAGCGGUGAAAAUGCGUAGAUAUCUGGAGGAACACCGGUGGCGAAGGCGGCAUCCUGGACCGGCAUUGACGCUGACGGCGCGAAAGCCAGGGGAGCAAAGCGGG
rnacentral:rRNA from 1 species